AGGGACGUGGUGAAACGGCUAUCACAGCAGUCUCCAAAACUGCUUUUCCCCGUUCGAAUCGGGGCGUCCCUG
rnacentral:tRNA from 1 species